GACGAACGCUGGCGGCGUGCUUAACACAUGCAAGUCGAACGGAAAGGCCCCUUUGGGGGUACUCGAGUGGCGAACGGGUGAGUAACACGUGAGUAACCUGCCCUUGACUUCGGGAUAACUUCAGGAAACUGGGGCUAAUACCGGAUAGGAAUCCUUGCUGCAUGGUGGGGGUUGGAAAGCUUCGGCGGUUUUGGAUGGACUCGCGGCUUAUCAGCUUGUUGGUGGGGUAGUGGCUUACCAAGGCUUUGACGGGUAGCCGGCCUGAGAGGGCGACCGGCCACAUUGGGACUGAAAUACGGCCCAGACUCCUACGGGAGGCAGCAGUGGGGAAUAUUGCACAAUGGGCGUAAGCCUGAUGCAGCAACGCCGCGGGCGGGAGGACGGCCUUCGGGUUGUAAACCGCUUUCAGCAGGGGCGAAGCUUGUGGUGACGGUACCUGCAGAAGAAGCACCGGCUAACUACGUG
rnacentral:rRNA from 1 species